rnacentral:rRNA from 1 species
UGCGUAGGUGGUUUCUUAAGUCAGAGGUGAAAGGCUACGGCUCAACCGUAGUAAGCCUUUGAAACUGGGAAACUUGAGUGCAGGAGAGGGGAGUGGAAUUCCUAGUGUAGCGGUGAAAUGCGUAGAUAUUAGGAGGAACACCAGUUGCGAAGGCGGCUCUCUGGACUGUAACUGACACUGAGGCACGAAAGCGUGGGGAGCAAACAG